GGCAGGCUUCCAAAGAAGGUAUGAAUGGGGUUAACGCGGUAGUAAAUGAUGGACAACAAGUUCAGAAUAAUGAGUAAUAAAAAAAUAAUAUUAGAGAAAAAUAGUUAAAAAAAAAGGAUAGAGAAAAAAAAAAUAAGCAAAAAAAGAUAAAGAAAAUAAUGGUAGUUUUAUUCAUGAUGGGGUUUGAUUGUCCUUUGAAAAGAUGUUAUCACUUUUCUAGAUAAUAUAAAACAUAAGAUAGAAGCGAUUAAAUAUUUUAAUAAAAAAAUAAACUAGAGGCUCUAAAGAGCCUGUGUCGCUCACCUUGGUCUAUGUGAAUAUUAAACAAAGGAAGCAGAUGGAUUCAUGACAAAAUUGUGUUUUGGUAAUGGUGAUGUGUUCGUAAAUCUUACUUUACUGAACAUUCUUGCUGCUUACAAUUGACCUCUAUCUAUAAUGAACUUGGCCCAGUAGUUUCAGUGGAAAAUGUUAGAAAAAGUUAAUAAAUUUUAUGAAAAUUGUUAAAAAUUGUCUAUAAAGGACAAUAACUCCUUAGGGGUUCAAUUGACCAUUUCAGUCAUUUUGACUUAUUUGUAAAUCUUACUUUUCUGAACAUUAUUGCCGUUUACAGUUUAUCUUUAUCUAGAAUAAUAUUCAAGAUAAUAACCAAAAACAGCAAAAUUUCCUUAAAAUUACCAAUUCAGGGGCAGCAACCCAACAAAGGGUUGUCCGAUUCAUCUGGAAAUAAUUUCAGGGCAGAUAGAUCUUAACCUGAUAAACAAUUUUAAACCAUGUCAGAUUUGCUCUAAAUGCUUUGGUUUUAGAGUUAUAAGCCAAAAUCUACAUUUUACCUAUAUGUUCUAUUUAUAGCCAUGGCGGCCAUCUUGAUUGGUUGGCAGGGUCACGCCACACAUUUUUUAAAGUAGAUACCCCAAUGAUGAUUGUCGCCAAGUUUGGAUUAAUUUGGCCCAGUAGUUUCAGAGGAGAAGAUUUUUGUAAAAGAUUACUAAGAUUUACGAAAAAUGCUUAAAAAUUGACUAUAAAGGGCAAUAACUCCCAUAGGGGUCAAUUGACCAUUUCGGUCAUGUUGACUUAUUUGUAAAUCUUACUUUGCUGAACAUUAUUGCUGUUUACAGUUUAUCUCUAUCUAUAAUAAUAUUUAAGAUAAUAACCAAAAACAGUAAAAUUUCCUUAAAAUUAUCAUUUUAGGGGCAGUAACCCAACAACGGGUUGUCCGAUUCAUCUGAAAAUUUCAGGGCAGAUAGAUCUUGACCUGAUAAACAAUUUUACCUCGUCAGAUUUGCUCUAAAUGCUUUGGUUUUUGAGUUAUAAGCCAAAAACUGCAUUUUACCCCUAUGUUCUAUUUUUAGCCAUGGCGGCCAUCUUGGUUGGUUGGCCGGGUCACCGGACACAUUUUUUAAACUAGAUACCCCAAUGAUGAUUGUGGCCAAGUUUGGUUUAAUUUGGCCCAGUAGUUUCAGAGAAGAUUUUUUGUAAAAGUUAACGACGACGGACGACGGACGCCGGACGCAAAGUGAUGGGAAAAGCUCACUUGGCCCUUUGGGCCAGGUGAGCUAAAAAUGAUCA
rnacentral:lncRNA from 1 species